rnacentral:lncRNA from 1 species
AUUAUAUUUCAAUCUUUCAAAUCCAUCUCAUGAAUUACUCUGAUCAAGGAUUUGCUAAAUUAAAAUACACUGAUGCAUAUCUCCUACCAAUUUAGAGGGAUCAAUUCUAUCUUGACACAUACACUGACUUGAAAAGUACUUGACUGCACCCAGUAAUCUUUCAUCACUGAAUUAAAAACUCAGAUGGUCUGAUUCUAAAAUAUAGUGAGUUGCUUACAAGUCAUCAUGGUGGUCUCA